GGCCCAAUGGUCUAGAGGUAAGAUACUUGCUUUGGGUGUUCCGAGUGCAAGGGAUCCCGGGUUCGAAUCCCGGUUGGGCCC